GCAGGCAGUUCGUGUGUGGAUCUCGUCAGCAUAUCGUCGCAAACAGGAAAUCCCCAACCAUAGUGGGCUUGGAGCUGUGAGGGAAUUCGGAGUGGCCACCCGUUCUGAAAGUUUGAUUUUCUUCUGGUGAAUUGGACAUCCUUUUAUUUACGUUUGAAGUUUUGGGUUUUAAAUGUAAUAAGACCGCUUAAUUAUUUUUGAUGGUUUUAAUAUGUAUUACUAAGAUAGGUAUUACUUAUUUUAAA